UACGUAGGGGGCAAGCGUUGUCCGGAAUCAUUGGGCGUAAAGCGCGUGCAGGCGGCCCGGUAAGUCCGCUGUGAAAGUCCAGGGCUCAACCCUGGGAUGCCGGUGGAUACUGUCGGGCUCGAGUCCGGAAGAGGCGAGUGGAAUUCCUGGUGUAGCGGUGAAAUGCGCAGAUAUCAGGAGGAACACCAAUGGCGAAGGCAGCUCGCUGGGACGUGACUGACGCUGAGACGCGAAAGCGUGGGGAGCAAACAGG
rnacentral:rRNA from 1 species